GAGGGUAUAGCUCAGUGGUAGAGCAUGUACUUAGCAUGCACGAGGUCCUGGGUUCAAGCCCCUGUACUGCCA
rnacentral:tRNA from 1 species